rnacentral:tRNA from 1 species
GCGCGCGUGGUGUAGUAGCUAACAUUGCUGACUGCCAUUUUGAAGUCGCGGGGUCGACUCCCGCCGCGGCCA